UUCUGUAGGUGAAACCUGCGGAGGGAUCAUUACCGAGUUUACAACUCCCACACCCAUUGUGAACGUUACCAAACUGUUGCCUCGGCGGGAUCUCUGCCCCGGGUGCGUCGCAGCCCCGGACCAAGGCGCCCGCCGGAGGACCAACCAAAACUCUUAUUGUAUACCCCCUCGCGGGUUUUUUUAUAAUCUGAGCCUUCUCGGCGCCUCUCGUAGGCGUUUCGAAAAUGAAUCAAAACUUUCAACAACGGAUCUCUUGGUUCUGGCAUCGAUGAAGAACGCAGCGAAAUGCGAUAAGUAAUGUGAAUUGCAGAAUUCAGUGAAUCAUCGAAUCUUUGAACGCACAUUGCGCCCGCCAGUAUUCUGGCGGGCAUGCCUGUCCGAGCGUCAUUUCAACCCUCGAACCCCUCCGGGGGGUCGGCGUUGGGGAUCGGCCCUGCCUUGGCGGUGGCCGUCUCCGAAAUACAGUGGCGGUCUCGCCGCAGCCUCUCCUGCGCAGUAGUUUGCACACUCGCAUCGGGAGCGCGGCGCGUCCACAGCCGUUAAACACCCAACUUCUGAAAUGUUGACCUCGGAUCAGGUAGGAAUACCCGCUGAAC
rnacentral:rRNA from 1 species